UUUCCUUUUCUUUUGGCGGACUUAACAUUUAGCAAUGAGUUUGCUGUUAUUUAUUUAUCUGAACUUGUAGUAAUCUAUAGUAAUCUUAACAGAUGUAGUUCUUCUUAUUGCACCUUUUUUAUUCUCUAAUUCUUCAGUUUAUUGUUUUGUUCUCCGUCAGUCUUAACUGCAUUUGAACAUUUCUCAAAUGUUGAUUUGUAUCAUUUGCUUUCCUUUCACUUCUAUCACUUUAUUUUCACCUCUUAAGGUGAGAAUUUCUCGAUUAUUCGUCUGUUUUUUCUCUUUUUUUUGGCGAACGUCUUUUUGAUCUCAGAUCAGCAGAAAAAGAAAAAUCCUCAGUUGUUUUUAUUUAAUCACCUUCGGCAAAGAAGACUGAAAUAUUUGGGUCUUUUUUCAGAUUCCUGUUCAGAAUUUCCUCAUGUCUGCAUUCUGGGGUCAGACGAGGUCAUGACUUUUCCAGUGUGUGACCUACAUUUCCCCCAAAGGGCAAAAACCCCAGGUGGGGCAAAACAUUCUGUUCUAUCUGCGGAAAAACACCGGAGAAUCUGUUUGGGAGAAAAUGUAAUAGCUUUAACUUCAACUUUAUUUUUGUAUUUUCCUUAUUUUUUAUGUUUUUUUUUUGUUUUGUUUUUUGGAUGAAGACGCCAGGAAACGUCAGAGCAGCUCAGAAAGCUUCAGGUGGAUUUUCUCGCAGAAGAAAAGUUCAAAAGCAGAGGAUUCAGUCUGAGUGUGGAGCGAAAAACAGACUAGAAAUGUCAGAGAACGAAACACAAAAAGGAAACAAAAGUCAAACUGUUUCAAAAUAAAAGCAGAAAGAAGUAAACAAAUAGAAGAACCAAAAACGGAAAAAUCCUGUUGACAUCAAAAAACAAAAGGUUUUAUAAAUACUUUAACGUUUUAGCUACGAAGACAAAAAGGAACUAAAUCUUAAUGCUUAAAUUCUUCAUUUUAUACAUUUCAAAUCGAAUAGUUCCUGUUUUUUCAUAAAGAAUUCAUUAAAAACAGGGUUUCUGGAUGGUAAUCGAUAACUAAUCAAUUCCUUUCAGGUCAUGUGAUCCUGAUUGAAGGGGAGCCGUCUUGUGGUGGUUUUUUUAUGUUUACGUCUCAAACAGCAGCUUCUGACCCCAAAAACCCACAGAUUCCAACUGUAUUAGUGAGAAAAACACUAAAGGAAUGAAAAUAACACAGAAUGAUGGACAAAAGAAACAGAAAAAGAUUAAAAAAGCAACAAAUUCAGCAAUAAAUCCUAUUUUAACACCUUUUAUUAUUAAAAUCCAGUUGUCUAAUGUAUUAAUAAUCUUCCAAAAGAGCUAAAAAAAAAUAACAGAAUAGAAAAAUAAUUAUGAAAAUGACUAAAGGUAAAUUAUUCAAAUAUAUAAAUAAAACAAAACAAAAAACUGAAUGUGUGGAAGAUUGAUCAACGUGAGACUUGUUUUUGUUCCUGUUUAAGCUUUAUUCAUAAAACUGUGAGAUUUCUAAAAAUAAACCGAUCUCAGAAAUGCUAAAUAAUCAUAAAAAUGCACGUUUGUUCCUAAAUUCUAAUCUAAAUCAAUAAUGUGAAGGAUGACGCUGUGGUACAGCGGUCGACCUCGGAGGAUCUCACUUUUCCCCUCAUGGUUCAGCGUCUGGAUCAGCAGCCUGACUGAAUCGGCGCCCCUGUCCUUGUUUUACGUAAAAUGUGUGGAAAAAAAGUCAAUCAUGACAACAAACUGCCACAAGCCCCAGAUGCCAGAAGGCGUGGCGCCACAGGGGAACCGUCUCUGGGCGAAGCACCGGCGUCUGAAGUAAAGAGCGCCCCUUAAACGAGGUCAGCCGCUGCUGGAAGAUGAUUGUGUUCAUGAGAAGGAAGGUUUGCUUCACGUCAGCUGGGAUGUUUUCUCCCUGCAGCUGUUGUUGUUGUUGACAGACGGAGUCGUCACGGUGAAGCUGCAUCCGGCGAGCGUUCAGAACGCCACGUUUGCUUCUUUUUCCACACGAGCGGCUCCCUGAGUCACGCACAAACAUCCGUUCCUCACAUGGUCGGUGGGGCGAGGAGCUGAUGUGAUGACGGGAGGCUGACGAAGUCAGGAAUAGCUAACCUGAUGCCUGAGAAGCUACGAGGCGAUCAAUAAAAAACCGCAGGACGAGUUUUCAUUUGAAUCUGCAACUGAAGUGAAACGGAUCUCAGAGAUCACCGCAGCUGAGUGCCACGGAAACGUGAAAAGUUUGUGAGCUCAUCAGAGAGCUGGAGAAGACGCCGGAGGGAGCGGGAAAGCGCACGAGUGACCGAGUCAUCCCCACGCCGCUCACAAACUCCAUCCUCCGACAAAUGUAAUCACAGCAGAAGGCGGCGGCGGCGGAGGAUGGGGGGUGGGGGGUGAUCCAGGCUGUCCUGAGGGCUGAGGAGAACACCACACAUGUAUGGAAGCCCAUUUGGGUCAAAUUCUAUCUCACAAUUAUGACGUUUUAGAGGUUAUUGUCCGACAGCACAUAUCCCAUAACCUCCAGUUGGAUAACUGUUCACUAUUUUAAAAACUAUCUUUGGCCGUUCUGUUUUUGUCCCAAUGGAGCUUCUGUACGCCUUUUCUUAAAAGUGGGGGGGGGUUGCUGGUCGUGUGUGCGCCUCAGGGGCGUCGUUACAGACGGAUGAGCUGCAGACGUCUUCUGAUGAUGGGAGGGCCGUUGGGGCUGUGGGGAGGCGGCUGGCGGCUUAGAGAAGACGAGUGAAUCAUCAAACCCUGGAAGGGAGCAGCGUCCGUCGUUCAGGGUCGUUCUUCGUCUUCUCACAGACUCGUCACCGGUUCUUCAGAAAAGCCAGUUUCCGUUUGGAACAGCUGUCACUGUCGGAGACAGAAAACAACAAAAGCCUCACACUUCCAUCAGAUUUAGUCUGGUUCCAUGAAAAGAAGUCCAGCCGGUUCCUUUCUUGUGGGUCAGAACCAUUGACCAUAUCUGAGAACUGGACCGUCACCCGUUGAAAGCGGUUUACUGUCGGCUUCAAUCACAUGAGGCGGAUUCAGGCGCCAUUUGGACCAGCAUGGAUGGCGCCGUAUUCAGGCUUCCGUUGAUUUCUGACAAUGCACGCCGAGUCAGGCAUUAUCUCACAUAAUGCACACCUCCAUGGGCAUUACACCUUACUUACCCCUUGGCCUCCCAAUGUUAAUGUGCCUACAAGUCACGUUAACAUUGGGAGUUGGGUCAUCUAGACCCACUAGACAGUGCUCUGAACCUUUUUUCUUCAAUGAUUUGUGAUCUUCACUGGUGUCCAUGGAUUACAUGAAAUCUUUCCACCUUUAUCCACCUUUGUCAUGGUAGAGGAGAACACGUCAAAGUAAGGGUGGGGUCAUCUGGGCCCCACAAUAUAGCACAAGAGUUGUACCAUGGUCUGGAUCGCUACUUGAUUCUGAUUUGCUGCAAGGUGGGAAUUAAAAAGUUAUAAGGAACGCCUAAAACAGAAGUUCCAGUCACUCAGUCUAAAUGUUCUGUAUCACUGUAGCCCCAGGGCAGCUGUGGCUACAUCAGUAGCUACCAUCACCAAGCAUGAAGGAGGAGUGAAUGAAUGAUGGACACAUUAUAAACGUUGUGAGCAUAUGGAAAAGCGCAGAUUAAUCCAAUUAAUCCAAUCACCAUGCUGGCCUGUUCGCCAAUUGGUAACACGUCCACAGUUUAUCACGAGACAGAAGAAAGGAUGAGUCACUUUGUAGUUUUCUUUAACCUGUUUGGUUAAUUGGAUCAUCUUGAAGUCUGGGCGGCAGCAGAACGAGAGGAGAAUCUAAGUAGGAGGAGAUGAGACACGAGGAGGAAUCGAAACUUUUGCUUCAUCAUCCGGACUAAAACGAGCAGGAAGAGGUGAACUUUCCCUCUGAAAUGAUACUUUGCUGAAUUCAUCAAUAUCGAUCGGCGUGUAAACGACUUUCCUCCGCUGCUUCGGAGCGAGGUCGAUGCAGGCUCUGUAGCCGUUACCAUGACAACACUUUGAGCCCCGUAUCAGAUACUCCACGUUUUGUGAAAAAUGAUUAAAACUUAGAAAAUACUAAGAAUAAAGUACUGAUAAUUUAUUGAAAAUGCAUUUAUUUGAUAUGUGACCAUGGUAAAAGCAGAAAAAUAAGCGAACGAGUUCGCCUUUCAGGCAGGUAGACUCUGCAGUAUUACGGUUACUCCCCUAGGGCGGUAGUAAUUAACUCACCUGUUCAGUGUCCUAUUUAAGUCCAGGUGUGCAGCCGUUCAUUCUCUUCCUUACCGCAAUCGCUGCAUUUGUCGCCCAACCCUCCUCCCCGGCUUCCACCUGUGGGCUACAUUCGGGGUUAUUACCCAAAAGUUUUAUGGAAAAAAUUAUCUCAUGGAAUUGUACGGAGCCUAAAGCCAAACGAAAAGAUUGUGAAUGCCAACUUAUGAAUGUAAAAUUUCUACUGCAUGAGUUUGCCUGACUGAAAUGGCCUUUGAGUUAUCAGAACUUAAUGUCGCAGAAAUGAGGCGACCGUGUCGCGUCUUUAACAUUUCUUUUUUUUUCUUUUCUUCUUUUUCUUAACGUUUCUGAUAUGGCACACCUUGUCCUUUACUGCUAAGAACCAUCAUGCUACUGUACAAUAGUUGUCUUUUUUAAUGUAAUAUUGUUUUUAAAAAAAGAUAAAAAUGUGUGAUAAAACUGCAAAAAAGAAAGUAAAAAAAACAAGAAUGAGGAAAAAAAGUCAAACUGAACUAUAUAGUUGAAUGACAAA